rnacentral:rRNA from 1 species
UACGUAGGGAGCAAGCGUUGUCCGGAAUCAUUGGGCGUAAAGCGCGCGUAGGUGGCUUCGUAAGUCCGUUGUGAAAGUCAAAGGCUCAACCUUUGAAAGCCGAUGGAUACUGCGGAGCUAGAGUACGGAAGAGGCGAGUGGAAUUCCUGGUGUAGCGGUGGAAUGCGCAGAUAUCAGGAGGAACACCGAUGGCGAAGGCAGAUCUCUGGGCCAUUACUGACGCUGAGGAGCGAAAGCAUGGGGAGCGAACAGG